GAUGAACGCUGGCGGCGUGCCUAAUACAUGCAAGUCGAGCGAACAGACGAGGAGCUUGCUCCUCUGACGUUAGCGGCGGACGGGUGAGUAACACGUGGAUAACCUACCUAUAAGACUGGGAUAACUUCGGGAAACCGGAGCUAAUACCGGAUAAUAUAUUGAACCGCAUGGUUCAAUAGUGAAAGACGGUUUUGCUGUCACUUAUAGAUGGAUCCCCGCCGCAUUAGCUAGUUGGUAAGGUAACGGCUUACCAAGGCGACGAUGCGUAGCCGACCUGAGAGGGUGAUAGGCCACACUGGAAAUGAGAAACGGUCCAGAAUCCUAAGGGAGGCAGCAGUAGGGAAUCUUCCGCAAUGGGCGAAAGCCUGACGGAGCAACGCCGCGUGAGUGAUGAAGGUCUUCGGAUCGUAAAACUCUGUUAUUAGGGAAGAACAAAUGUGUAAGUAACUAUGCACGUCUUGACGGUACCUAAUCAGAAAGCCACGGCUAACUACGUG
rnacentral:rRNA from 1 species